rnacentral:rRNA from 1 species
UACGGAGGGGGCUAGCGUUGUUCGGAAUUACUGGGCGUAAAGCGCACGUAGGCGGCUUUGUAAGUUAGAGGUGAAAGCCCGGGGCUCAACUCCGGAAUUGCCUUUAAGACUGCAUCGCUUGAAUCAUGGAGAGGUUAGUGGAAUUCCGAGUGUAGAGGUGAAAUUCGUAGAUAUUCGGAAGAACACCAGUGGCGAAGGCGACUAACUGGACAUGUAUUGACGCUGAGGUACGAAAGCGUGGGGAGCAAACAGG